GAUGAACGCUGGCGGCGUGCCUAAUACAUGCAAGUCGAGCGAACAGAUGAGGAGCUUGCUCCUCUGACGUUAGCGGCGGACGGGUGAGUAACACGUGGAUAACCUACCUAUAAGACUGGGAUACCUUCGGGAAACCGGUGCUCAUACCGGAUAAUAUCUUGAACCGCAUGGUUCAAUAGUGAAAGACGGUUUUGCUGUCACUUAUAGAUGGAUCCGCGCCGCAUUAGCUCGUUGGUAAGGUAACGGCUUACCAAGGCAACGAUGCGUAGCCGGCCUGAGAGGGGGAUCGGCCACACUGGAACUGAGACACGGUCCAGACUCCUAGGGGAGGCAGCAGUAGGGAAUCUUCCGCAAUGGGCGAAAGCCUGACGGAGCAACGCCGCGUGAGUGAUGAAGGUCUUCGGAUCGUAAAACUCUGUUAUUAGGGAAGAACAAAUGUGUAAGUAACUAUGCACGUCUUGACGGUACCUAAUCAGAAAGCCACGGCUAACUACGUG
rnacentral:rRNA from 1 species